UGGGAUUCGGAUGUGAUGUCUAGAAUUCAAGCUCUGGAGACUAUGUGCUAAGAAUGCUGAAGUCACAAGCAUGAAAGACCCAGAGUCUCUGGCAACUUGAUCAUUACACUAAGAGCUGUAGACUGUGUACCUACAGUGAGGUUUUAUGCCAAAAAUGAGGAGGCUGAACAGGAGGGAUGUGCCCAGGAGUCCAGGAAGGUUCGGAAUCAUCCUGAGCCCAGAACACUCACUGCCUGGCUGCAUGUUGGUCAAUCUCAGCAGCCAACUAAAGGGACAGCCUGGAACCGCAGUGGUGGGUCUGGGGGUGAUCCAGGCACCCUGAAGAGGCCAAACUGGCCUGCGCGUAGACUUGUGGAUGAGAGGUUCAUUUGGAUGUGGUCAAAAGUGGGCCUGCUCCCUGAUAUAAUGAUAAGCUACAUAUCUCAGAUCCAUCUGGAAACCAUUUUUAAAUUUACAUUACCAAGAGCUGAUUUUCAAGUUGGGUUUCCCUCGGCUCAUCUGUCUUGCAUGUGCACAGGGUGGGUUUUAGAGAUGAACAACAGCUCUUCUCCUCCCUGUUUUUCUCCCUCAAGUUUUAUGGUUGGGUUUGGGCUUUAUUUAUAACAUGUCACACACAGAUGUAUAGCAGGGCCCUAUCCACAGGCUGAGUAGCCUCCUAUCAUUUUACAUAUUCCUCACUCAUAAUUAGUUUAGGCUGUUUUAGGUUUGCAUUUUUUUCUAUAAUGAUAUAGCAGACACAAAGUGUUAAUAAGAAGCAGAAAUAUUUCUCUUUACCUCUGCCCCUCCCUCUUCCCACCUCCACCCUCCAUGGUACCUCACCUCAUAUUCGAAGGGAAAGCACCCUGGUCGUGUGUCACUCCUAGGACCCUUCACCCACCAGUGGAGAACACAUUCAUCUGGAGGUACUGGCCACUCUUCCAGGCCAUGGGACCUUGAAUGCUUAUCUCAUC
rnacentral:lncRNA from 1 species